rnacentral:lncRNA from 1 species
CGCACAUCAAAGACCUGAAGCCUCAAGUAUAUUCAUAAUUUUUCUUACUUGAAGUGACGUCAGGUUCUCGUCGUGGGUUGAUGUGUUUUAAAUGUACUUUGUGGAGGUCGAUAUUCAGGGUAGGAGGUCAUCCACCCACCUUGAGCCUUACAACACAGGGUUAAAUAUGAUACUAGGAAGACAUAUCAGAAGCUUGAAGGAAGGUGUGAGAAGCGCGGCAGAUGUCACACUGAUACAAGUCCGCUCGGCCAUCCGUAUAAGUAAAAGGUCCUCACCUCCUACCUAUUGAUUCUUAGUGAGGUCCCCUCGCUCACCUGGUUACCUUCACCUGGUUACCUUCACCUGUUUACCUUCACCUGGUUACCUUCACCUGGUUACCUUCACCUGGUUACCUUCACUGGUUACCUUCACCUGGUUACCUUACCUGGUUACCUUCACCUGGUUACCUUCACCUGGUUACCUUCACUGGUUCCUUCACCUGGUUACCUUCACCUGGUUACCUUCAACUGGUUACCUUCACCUGGCUACCUUCACCUGGUCGUUUCCUUUCAGAUAGCCAGCAUCAACUCCUCCUUGGGGUCCUCGCCCUGGUGGUGUCGGUGAGCGGGGAGACCUCCCUACGCUACUGUCAAAUUGACUGCACCAAUUACAAGACAUCUCAACUGACAGCCGACCCUUUAGACCAACACAGAUUCUAUUUGUGUAAGAGUACAACAACGUGGCAAGAGGAGUCAUUUGCCUGCGACACCGGUCUUGACUUCGAUGUUAAUAGUUACGACUGCAUGGAUCCUCAUGACCCAAGCUAUCAACCUACACCACUGAGAAAUGCGGCUUUGACUGCACGACCGUAGGAACGGCAAACGCACAUUCCCAGCAGACUGUAAUUUAUAUAUAAACUGUAUAUACGGCGUUGACGGAGACAUGAAAGCAUGUGGCGAAAACACCCCAUAUUUCGAUGGUAAGGUUUGUCAGGCAAAUGUAAGUAAUUGUUGUACAUGUCAGCCACAUUGCACUGCCGAAGACACAACUUAUAAUAAGCUUAUACCUGAUAAAUUCACCGCAACAAAGUUCUACCUUUGCUUCACCACUGGAAUGAUGCACUCAGUCUGUGAUGAAGGUAAUUUUGAUGCGGAGCAACAAAAGUGUUGGGUAAGCGCCCCUGUAAUGAAGAGUGUUAUGGCACCGGCUGUGUAGAAACACUGAUAUGUAAACAAAUUGGCUUUUCGAAGUGUACAACAAGUUGUAACCCACACUACUUCAUAUGCGACGCAUUCCAUAAGCAAGGAGGCAGGGAUAUUGACCUGCCAGAACGGUGACGUCCUGGACCCACAGACUAUGACCUGUAUCAACCCGGACGACUGCCCGUUCUAGCUUCAGUAUUGAUCAUGUCUCCCGCCAUAACCAUGUUUGGUCGAUGACACUAAUAUUAAAACACUGCUCACGCCUUACUGAAAUUAAUGGACUUCGUCACACAAAAUGUUCAGCUACUGUUUAUUUUAUUUAUUAGAGAAGUUAACACAGGCUUGUGUGUCUGCCAUGAUCAUGGUGCAUUAUUUUGUGUAUAUGUCUAUGUUAAGUAGGUUUACUGGGGACUGUGAGGUGAGAUAAAAGGUUAUUAAUGGUUUAAAUAUCUUAUUAUUCAUUAUACAGUAUUCUAUUCAUGUAUGAAGAUUUAGUAUUAUGAUGAAUAAAGUCAGUAUAAACAGUUAA